GCACCUCCCUUACAAGGAGGGGGUCACUGGUUCGAGCCCGGUAUCGCCCA
rfam:Photobacterium iliopiscarium strain ATCC 51761 CFSAN029430_contig0254, whole genome shotgun sequence.